CCAACCCCAUCUCUUCUUGACUUUGGAAACUGGAAAAUCUGGCAGGGUCGUGUUCUUCUUUCCAUGGCAUAUUCCCAGCCAGCCUCCUGCCAGCUUCAGAGGAGGAUCAAGGGAAUGUUUUUUAGUUGAUGCUGAAGAGUGGUAACCACUGAAGAUACAGGGAUCCGGCAAGCAGAGCAGAGAAGUAAGGAGUGCCAUAAAUGUGACCCUGCAGAGGUUUGCAAUGGCAAUCACAUCUCCAGGACACAGCAAGAUAGAAUACAUUUUUCAUGGUACUUGCUCCAGGCCUCCUCUGGACUUCAGCCGUGGUUUUGCUUUAUCUCCAUGAAGACAUUGGAAAGCUCUUCAACCGGAAGCAUGUUGGCAGCCACUAGCAAAGGAGUGAUUCUCCCUCUCUGAAGGGCCAACAGGGAGACUGUAAUGUGG
rnacentral:lncRNA from 12 species